AUCUGAAGUGAAACAAAAGACGAGGUUUAAAAUUCAUGGUAUUGGGUAAUAUCAUAUUUACCCCCUCCCCCAUCAUGUAUAUGUAUUCAUGUCAUAUAUAUAUAUGCACACAAGAAGGGGGUAGGGGUGAAAGGAGAACCAGAAUGUUACAAAUGCUUGUAAAACAUAUAAGCCCCGGCCCUCAGAUGUGUUAUCUGUACUCGUGGAAAUGCUUAUAUACAUGACAUUGUGUACUAUCACAAUCAAAGCAAGAAAGCGUUCAGUGCAUUAAGGGCAUGAGUUAGCUGUCAAUGUGUUGCUUCUUUAUAAAUCAUAUUUCAUCCAACCCAACAUGUAAUAUCAUGUUCAAUCCAUGUAUGGAAUAUCAUCAACAAUUAAACCAAGAGUUAGUUCUCAAUAGGGCUGGGACGAUUCAGGGUUUAGCUUGAUUCGGUAUCAACUCAGAACAGCUCAAUUCGAUUUUUUCUAUUUGGUUCAUCAUGUUCAUGUUAGUCCAAUUUAUCUAAUGUCAGCACAAAAAUUAAAACUUUUAACAAACAGCAUUUUUAAUUUAAUUUUUUUUUCAAUUUUUGUAUAACUUUUUAUCAUGCCUCAGACAAAAUUGUUGAAAUCUAAAGAUUUUUCCUAUAUAUUUGCAUGUAAAACUUUGACCCUAUUGUGACCCCAACCUACUCCUGGGGGCCAUGAUUUUUUCAAAAUUGAAUCUGGACUAGGUCAGGAAGUUUUCUUGUGAAUGUAUACUCCCCCGACGUGAUAAUUAAAUUUGUUACACAGUUAGUUAGUGACCUCCUCGCCCGAUAUGGCUUUCCUUUUCACACUAUGUAUUUUUCCAUUUAUCAAUGCUGUUUUUACUACCGGUAAAGGGUACCUUUCCCCUCUUAAAAAAAACUGAAAUUUCCCCUCUUGAAGAUGGAAAAUUCCCCUAUUAACACAACAUUUAAAAAUAUUUAUUUUUGAUAUGUCGUGGUUUUUCUGUUUUAAUCCGAUUGUGGUUUUAUUAAAUAUCCUGAUUUACCUUCUUCGUCAUUAAAACGCUUUUUGUUAUAUCGUCAACUUUAAAGUUUAAGCUUCAAAGUAAUAUUGAUCGGUAAUAAUGUUGCAUAAUGCGAAUUCAUAUCUGAAAAGAUUUACAAGGAAAGAUGCUGUUGGGAUGUCAACAAUUGAGAAGCUUUUUAAGAGUCAAAAGUUCAAAACAAAAGAAGGUGAGUUGGACACGGAAGAGGGAAAUGUAUCGUAACAACGUUUGUAUUGAGGGUAAGGAAGGAGAAAAGAAUUUGUCAAAUGAUUGAUUGAUUGAUGUUUUCCGCCACACUCAACAAUUUUUCAGUUAUCUGGUGGCGCCCAGUUUUUAUUGGUGGAAGAGAGAACCCAGAUACAAUGUACCUGGGAAAGAGACCACCAACCUUCCGAAAGUAAACUGGGAAACUUUCUCACUUACCAGCACGAGUGGGAUUCGAACCCGCGCCGACAGAGGUGAGAGGCCGUGUUAUUUUGAGCGCGAUGCUCUAACCACUCGGCCAAUGAUUCAGAAGAUUUACAUCAACUUGUUAAAUUGUUCAAAAACAAGAAAAACAGAAAAAUUGACUUGUAAACUUGAAAAAGAAAAUUAAACAACAGUACUGAUCUCACAUGGUUUUUGCUUACUUUUGUUAUUAUUUCAUGUAACGGACUGUAGAACACUGUGUGCGUUCAAGAAGUCACUGAAAACACAUUUUUACCAUCAAGUUUUCCAGGACUAGUUUCUAUCAUUUCAGUCAUUCGUGUUUGCUGUUUCAGUGCAUUAAGAUUAUCUUAUCUGUUUUGACUGUGUGUCUUAGUUUUCGAGUACCAUUUUGUGAUUUUUAUUAAAAAAAAAAAUCCAUGUUUUAAUGUAUUAUAACAGACAUUAUAUGCUGUGUGUGCGUGUGUGUACUUCAUUAUUAUCAUUUUAAUACACCCUGAAACUGAUGUUUAUUCUUAUCUAGCAUAUUUAUGGUAUCUUGUGUUUUCAUGUUUUAUAUGUACAAUCAGGAUAGGUACAGCUACAGACUGUUUACAUGUGAUAACGCGUUUUAUAUCAUUGCUUUUUAAUGUUUUAUUUAUUUUCUAUGUAUCAUGUGUAUAACAUUCUGUUGUAAGGUAUAUAUGCAUUGUAAAGCACCUUUGAGCAUACAUAGUGUAUGAAAAGGGUGCUAUAUAAAUAUGGUAUUAUUAUUAUUUCAUAUUUUGUCUAUAUAAUCAUGGGGUUUUUUUUGGCCUUAAUAAACACCAGAAGGCCUCAGAAUGCAGGAUUUUUCUCCAUUUAUCUCAAAAUUUUCCUCAUAACCUCUGUAACCCUGCAUUUAACCUUGUAACCCUGUUUUGUAGUGUAACCUGGUUACAAAAUUGUCACCCGGGAGAAACUGCUCCGAUUUCUUGCCAUAUAUAUGACUCAGCUAUGCGAUGACUUUUAUAAAUGAAUAGACAAAUAUUGCUAAUAUUCAUAUUUUCAUCCAUGUUUUAAAAGGAAGUCAGCCAUUUUGACAAUAUAGAGAACAUCCUUACAAUGGUCACCGAAACAGGUGAAGUCAACGUUUUAGGAGCAGUGACAUGCGUUUUGUUACGAAAAUCUAUUCAAUUAACGUACUAAUGGAGUUGGAAUUUCUGGAUGAAAUUAAAGGAAUUUAAUUACUUUAAAGAUGCCGUCUUUGGGAGGUCUUAAUUUUCUUGGGCGUGACCCUGAGACAGUGCCGACAGAAGAGGUCUCCCAGCUUUCGCCCACUGCAAACGAUUCAUAUUCCGACGUUCUCCAUGACGAUACUUCAGUACCCUCCGCCAACGGCUCCCUCGCUCUACCCAUUGUUUUAACAUGUGUGGGGUUAUUAAUUGUACUGGGUCUAGUUCUGGGUUUCAUUUUGUGGAGAAAAA